rnacentral:rRNA from 1 species
AUGGCCGGUGGUAAAGGAGUUCAGCAGCGCACCACCUCGGGUGGUUCCCAGGCGCGGCCAUCACAGGACGGCUCCCAGUCGCCGGCUCCGGAGGAGCAGCGAGGGCGCAGCCGCUCUAGGCGCGGCCAUCGCGGUGAGGUCGUGGUUAGGGAGAUCGUGCGCGAGACCGCGGUCAGUGGUAGCGUACCCAUCACCUUCCCGAUGCUCACGCGCUCGAACUACAACGAGUGGGCGUUGAUCAUGGAGUGCAACCUCCAUGCGGCGAGCCUCUGGGCUCCCAUGGAGGACGACCUAGUCGAGAGAAAGGAGGACGGGAAAGCCGUGCCGGCACUCAUGCACGCCACGCCGCCGGAGAUGCACGGCAUGCUCGCGGCGAAGGCAAGCGCCAAGGAGGCGUGGGAAGCCAUCCGUACCCAGCGUCUUGGCAGCAACCGCGUGCGCGAGGCGAACGCGCAGAAGCUGCGGGCGGACUUCGAGAACAUCGCCUUCAAGGAGGGCGAGCUCGUUGACGACUUCUCCAUGCGGAUCUCCAGCCUUGCGUCACAGCUCAGCGCACUCGGCGACACCAUGGACGACGCGAGAGUCGUGCGGAAAUUUCUCCGCGUCGUGCCAUCUCGCUUCGCUCAGGUAGCGGUCUCCAUCGAGACCUUGCCUGACCUGAGUGAGCUCUCCAUCGAGGAGCUCACGGGCCGGUUGCGGGUGGUCGAGGACUGCCUUGACGACUGCCGCGAGAGCUUCGGCGGCGGACAACUCCUAUUCUCAAAGAAGUGGGAGGCGAGGAAGCAUCAAGGACGUGGUGGCGGUGCCCAGAGCAGCGGAGGCGGCACCGGCAGAGGCGGCGGUCGCACCCAGGGCGGAGCCGGACGAGGUGCCGGCAACGACGACCGGGACAAGUGCCGAUAUUGCAGCAUCAAGGGCCACUGGGCCCGUGAGUGCCGCAAGAGGAUGGCAGACGAGGAUGCCGCGGCUGCGGCGAACCUCGUCGAGGCUGAAGAGGACGAUGGGCCAGCAAUGAUGAUGGCUUGCGUCGAGACCAUGCAGGAGGGCCCAGCGCCUUCGGAGACCAUGGCCCCGACAAGUAUCGAAGCCGUGCAGGAGGGCGCGGCACCUCCGGCGACCACGGUGCCGGAAAUCGUUAAGUCCGUGCGGGAGGCAUGGAGCUCUUCAACUAAUCCCCUCCCCACAUCGGUAGCGCUCUCCCCGACAACAACGUUCUCGGGAGACUACGAUUGGGAGGAGAUGAAGACCCGGGUGUGGGGGAGCCACACCCCGGCAACCACGUUCCCUGCGACGGUGGUCAAGCCCGUGCAAGUUGGCACGACAAAGGCGUACCCGACAUCCUCAGGACCCAAUAAGCCCGUGUCAGGAGGCACGUCAACGACGUAUAUGGUGGGCAUGUCCCAACCAUGA